rnacentral:rRNA from 1 species
CAACUUUCAACAACGGAUCUCUUGGCUCUCGCAUCGAUGAAGAACGCAGCGAAAUGCGAUAAGUAAUGUGAAUUGCAGAAUUCAGUGAAUCAUCGAAUCUUUGAACGCACCUUGCGCCCUUUGGUAUUCCGAAGGGCAUGCCUGUUUGAGUGUC